CCGAACCUGGGUGAUCUAUCCAUGACCAGGAUGAAGCUUGGAUGAAACUAAGCAGAGGUCCGAACCGACUGAUGUUGAAGAAUCAGCGGAUGAGUUGUGGUUAGGGGUGAAAUGCCACUCGAACCCAGAGCUAGCUGGUUCUCCCCGAAAGGCGUUGAGGCGCAGCAGUUGACUGGACAUCUAGGGGUAAAGCACUGUUUCGGUGCGGGCUGCGCGAGCGGUACCAAAUCGAGGCAAACUCUGAAUACUAGAUAUGACCCAAAAAUAACAGGGGUCAAGGUCGGCCAGUGAGACGAUGGGGGA
rnacentral:ncRNA from 1 species